rnacentral:tRNA from 2 species
CAAAACAUAGCUUAACCACAAAGCAUUCAGCUUACACCUGAAAGAUGUCCAUUGAAACAGGACUAUUUUGA